AUUGAACGCUGGCGGCAUGCCUUACACAUGCAAGUCGAACGGCAGCACGGGUGCUUGCACCUGGUGGCGAGUGGCGAACGGGUGAGUAAUAUAUCGGAACGUACCUUAUUGUGGGGGAUAACGCAGCGAAAGCUGUGCUAAUACCGCAUAAUCCCUAAGGGGGAAAGCGGGGGACCGUAAGGCCUCGCGCAAUUAGAGCGGCCGAUACCUGAUUAGCUAGUUGGUGAGGUAAAGGCUCACCAAGGCAACGAUCAGUAGCUGGUCUGAGAGGACGAUCAGCCACACUGGGACUGAGACACGGCCCAGACUCCUACGGGAGGCAACAGUGGGGAAUUUUGGACAAUGGGGGCAACCCUGAUCCAGCAAUGCCGCGUGAGUGAAGAAGGCCUUCGGGUUGUAAAGCUCUUUUGUCAGGGAAGAAACAGCAGCUCUAACACAGUAUGCGAAUGACGGUACCUGAAGAAUAAGCACCGGCUAACUACGUGCCAGCCGCCGCAGUAAAAC
rnacentral:rRNA from 1 species